CCUCCCCCUCCACGAACCACCUCAAAGAGGGAAAAAACUACCGAUGCACCGAGCGCUCCUCCUCCUCAUCCGGUCCUCCUCCCGUGCAAUUUGCAGUUUUCACCUAUUACCAAUCCCACCAAUGUGACGAACCCUAGCGCUGCUCCUCCUACUCCCGUCCAAUCUGUAGUCUUCCCUAGCAGCCAUCUAAAAUAUCCAGCUCUCCUCUUUCCCAGUCCCUUCCUCCACGACCUUUGAAUCUCUACUACACCAACCACACAGCAGCACAUCUCGGCUAAGGAGAAUGCCCUUUUAAUUCCCUGAGGCCGCAGCUUCCAUGCCCCGACCAAACAGCAAUCCACCAUGUAUAAUGAAGUGGAGAAGGAGGUGUUUUUGGAUCAGCAGAUGAAUCAGAUCUAGCAGGAGGAGGAGUGUUCUAAGAACAGUUUCAAGCAGAUCACGGGGCAGUUGUCGUCAGUCAUUCAUGAGGACGCCAAGCAAAGGAGCUACUGUACUGCAAAUUGAUGGUGUAUCUGUAAAUUCUUAGCAAGAGAUACACAACAUUGCUUCUGACCGAUGAAACACAGAUAACCUUUCGUCCAAAUCUCGCAAUUCUGUCUUCUAUCUACAUGAGUUUUAGUACAUAUACAGAACUGUUGUAAUUUAAUUGAAUGUGCUAUGUUGCUAGAGGGACUGGGAUCUGUUGGGGACAAUUUUGCUCCUGUACAGAAGUUGCCAGCGAUAAUUUGUAGGCAUGAUAUCCUGAGCUGUCUCAGUGGGAAUCCAAUGACCAUGUACUCUGCUAUGAGUCUUCCAUGCAGUUCAACAACUACAUCUGCAAGAGCAGUGCGAGUCUUCCGGUGGUACAGGGAUGCAUGAGAAAGCAUGGAACAUCCGGUAAUCAGUUCGAUCCGUUCUUCCAUACGUGGCUGGCCUCAUGCUUUCUUCUUUUAGUAGUUUUACAGCUAUUUGAGAUAAUAAAUCUACCACAUAUAUGGAAUCUUGAGGGUUAAAACAAUUAGGCAGUGAUAUGGUAUCAUGUUGUUUUGCAUAAAGAAUACUCGAGUGGUUUAUGUUCUUCCCAUAUGAAUGUUUGGUCUGCUAUAUAGAAAUCGAGCUCAGUUUAAAUUUUCAGUGUCAAUGAUGAUGAACAGCCAAUGUUUGUGCUCCGGAUAGUAGUAACAUUAUGGCAGUUGUGAUAACGGAGGAAGCCAAGGUAUGUGCCACGAUGGUGGAGAAGUCGCCUCUGCCUUCCUAACGUCUCUCUGCCGCAUGAUAUAUAUUUUGCAGCAACAAGUUUCACUGAUCUGAUCUCAGGUUGCAACAUGUUCUUUUUUUCCCCGUCUGAUCCAUGCUGAUUCAACCUGGAAAGGUUACGAUCACAUGUCCUUUUAGGGAUGAUCGAUGGAAUUGAAGUACAGAUCCAAACUUUUGUAAAGACCUUCUAGGAUUUUGAUUUGACAUAAAAUCAGUAGUAUUGUUUCUACAUUGUCUCAACAAGGCUGCGGUGAAUAUGCUGCAGCUAUGUGCGUACAUCCGUUCUCCACUGUCUCCUGCCCUCCUAGCAAGGCCGUCUAGAGAUGCCAGAUCGCAGCUGAUGCCUUAUGUACAGGAUUGACAGAGACAACUUCCCUCAAUGUUGGACAUAAGUCACAUAACCAUAGGAAAAUAUUAGCAGGCCUUCACGUCCUGGCUCCUGUAGCACCGGUGGCUGUGGCACCAAGUCUUUGUGUGGUCUGAUGGUUAGAUCACAAUUAUCAUCGAUGGCUAUAGCCGAUGAUGUGUUGGAAACAAACCCUGCUAAUCUGCAUAUGUUGUGGUAAGCUCAAGUAUAGCUAUCUCUUACUAAUACACAUUGUCAAUCUCCCUCUUCCCCUCACUGAAUUCAAUCUCAUAGAAAACGUUCCUAAUUACAGUAUUAGAUUGCAAUAUGGGAUAUCUUCGCCCAUUGUGCAAAUGAAUCUUAUUUGA